rnacentral:lncRNA from 1 species
GAUGUUGUGUGUUGGGUUGUGUGUUGGGUUGAAGAAGCUACACGUUGACGGGGAUCAUCCAAAAAUUGUGUCGGAGCAACGUGCAUAAAAGGAAUUGAUAAAAACCAAUUCAUGUAUUCUCUACCCAGCUUAGACUCACCAGUUACCGAGUUUCCUUGUAACACCAAAUGCCUUCUUCUUUUCCAUUCUUUCAGCUCUUCUUUAUUUAAAUCUUGC